AUCGCUGUAGGCUAAUUGGUAAGCCACAAUGGGAUGCAGGUUCGAGUCCUACCGGCGAUA
rnacentral:tRNA from 1 species